CAGCCGCCGCGGUAAUGCGAAGGGUGCAAGCGUUAAUCGGAAUUACUGGGCGUAAAGCGUGCGCAGGCGGUGUUGUAAGACUGAUGUGAAAUCCCCGGGCUCAACCUGGGAACUGCAUUGGUGACUGCAACGCUGGAGUGCGGCAGAGGGGGAUGGAAUUCCGCGUGUAGCAGUGAAAUGCGUAGAUAUGCGGAGGAACACCGAUGGCGAAGGCAAUCCCCUGGGCCUGCACUGACGCUCAUGCACGAAAGCGUGGGGAGCAAACAGGAUUAGAUACCCCCGUAGUCCCUGUCUCUUAUAC
rnacentral:rRNA from 1 species